rnacentral:tRNA from 1 species
UGGGAUGUGGCUCAGUGGUAGAGCGCUUGCCUAGCAUGCAUGAGGCAUUGGGUUUGAUUCCCUGCACCACAU